ACUGAAACACCUGAUGAUCUUCGAAGUUAAGCAACGUCGAGCUUGGUCAGUACCUAGAUGGGUGACCGCUUGGAAAUACCAGCCGCUGUAAG